rnacentral:rRNA from 1 species
AGGUUGAUGUAAUUGUUUUAUAAAAGUUUAUUAUUAAUUAUUAAAUGAAAGAGGUUGAAAUUGUCGUUGUAGAUUGGAGGGAUUUGAUUAUGUUUACUAUAGUUUAUUAAUAUUGAAAGAGAAAUUUGAGAUAAGCAUUAUAAUUGGGGAAAAUAAAUUUUAUUUGUUGUAUCUUGUGUAUCAGAGUGGAUUAAAAUUAAAAAUGAAUAUUUAAUUUCUCGAAUUUGAAAGAUUUAAUUGAAUAUGGUAGUUAUUGUUUUAAAAAUAUUAUGAAUAUUUAGUUGGUAAUGAAAUGUUAUUCGUUUUUUAGGAUAUCUAGUUUCUUAAUAAAUAAAUUUAAUUUAAGGGUUAUUUGUUAAUAUUUUUAUUAAUAAUUAAUUAUAAGAUAAUCUUACUUUUUAAGGGGAAAAACUCUUAAAAAUAGAGCUAUAAAUAGGAAGAAAGUGAAAGUCUUAUAAAUUUAGAAUUAGUUCUUGAUUAAAAUAUGUUAAAAUUUAUCUUUUGUGUUGAGGGAUUUAAGAGGUUUUAGGGUUUUUAUUAAGAUGUAAUAAAUAAUAAUAUUAUUUUAGUAAAUAUGAUUUAAUUAGUAAAAUUAAGGUAUUAAGUUAAUAGAAUGAAAUGUUAGUUUAAGGAAUUCGGCAAAUUAUUUACUCGCCUGUUUAUUAAAAACAUGGUUUCUUGGUAAGUUUAGGAGAUCUGGCCUGCCCACUGAAAUUUAAUUGAAGGGCCGCAGUAUUUUGACUGUGCAAAGGUAGCAUAAUCAUUAGUCUCUUAAUUAGGGGCUUGUAUGAAUGGUUGGACGAGGCAAAUUCUGUCUUGGAUUAAUUAUAGGUUGAAUUUAAAUUUUAAGUAAAAAUGCUUAAGUGAAAUUGAGGGACGAGAAGACCCUAUAGAGUUUAAUAUAGAAUAUUUUAAUUAGGUUUAUAGAAAAUUAUUUAAUUGUUAAAUUGUAUAUUUAAUUGGGGUGAUUAGGAGAUAAAGAAAACUCUCUUUUAUUUUAAAUAAAAUUAAAAGUUUUAUGAUCCAUAUUUAAUGAUUAAAAGAUUAAAUUACCUUAGGGAUAACAGCAUAAUUUUUUUUGAGAGUUCAUAUUGAAAAAAAAGAUUAUGACCUCGAUGUUGGAUUAAGAUGGGUGUUGGGUGUAGAUAUUCAAAAACCAGGUCUGUUCGACCUUUAAAAUCUUACAUGAUCUGAGUUUAAACCGGCGUAAGCCAGGUUGGUUUCUAUCUUUAGUGAAAUAAGAUAUUUUAGUACGAGAGGACCAGAUAUCUAAAAUAGUUUUAUUUAGGUGAAUUUUAUUAAAGUUAUUU